rnacentral:lncRNA from 1 species
UAUCAUUAAAACUCCAAAUUUUCAAGCUCUUUUCAUUAGUUUUUUUUUUUUUCAAUGUGUAGUGCAUGGGGAACAAGAUAAAUAAAAACUCAUCCUCUCCUUUCCUUUUUAGCCUGCAUCUUUUUAGUUCUUUUUAUUUUUCUUUCUACUGCGGGUUCAACAGUGCAGAGUUCCAUGCCUUUUUGCGGCUACUACUGCCCAGUGGGGCUCGAGUGUUUUCUUGUGUUUUUUACCACCAAAACUUUUCAUCAUAAGAAAAGAAAUACACGUUUCUAAUUUUUGUAUUAUUUUUAGACAAAAUGAUGUCUGAGAUAAGUAUAACUUCCCAUUUUAAUAUCUAAAAAACGACAGAAAUAGUCCAUGAGCUGUAAGUGUUCUAUUUUACUUCUUGUCGUCAAAUCUGUCAAAUUUGACAAGCGAGGAGCCCGUCCUUACUGUACAUGCGGCGCAAAAACACAACUUGUGAGCAUAUGUUGGGUCAAAAUGCCUUUUGAUGAGAUAAAGUGGAAUUCGCACACUUCAAGCGACAAACACAAGCAAAACAGGAAACCAUAAACAGUAACAAACGACCCGUCAUUGUCAACUAAGUCAAGUUUUACACAGUUUUCUCAAGUUAUAUACAUGCCCUACACACAGUAAGUACAACGAGCAACUUGAGCUAAGCUAGUUUCUUCAAUGGAGGCGUCUAGAUGAUUUAGCGACCUAGAGAAAAGAGAUGAAUAUGGACAUCCGUAAACUUGGCCUCCAACACGACAUUAAGGCGACUACACUAAACAGUAACUCCCUAUUGCCUGACAACAUUAACCAGAAACACAACCGGUGGUGGGUAUUACAAACCAUGCUAAAGGAGGUUACUCGGGAUCACCCUCUGCAUCCUGAAAGCUGAACUCUCUAUGUGAACCUAGCUUGAGUAAUACCAUUCCUCGAUUCUCUUCCCUCCAUUGAAUACCUUCAUUCUCAGCAAGUUCGAUGACCUACACAAAGCAAGCGGUAAGAAAAAUAUUGAACGAAGCUUAUAUUUAUAAAGUUGAGAGAUCAAAUAAUCGAAUUAAAGAAACCAAGAUAUACUUUGGACAGUUCUAAGAUUUCUUCUUACAAUGUUUCCAUAACAAGAUGGGAAGGUAAAAUUUAAAGAUCAUUACUUUCAUUUACUACGCUAUAGCCAAAUACCCCCAUGGCAGGGGAAGAAGAGAAAAAUAAAACCUCCGGUAAUUGUUAUGAAAACUCCAAAACUUCCCAAAAAGAAAACAGACGUUAGCGUUCAACCGUUCCAAAAAGCAUAUCCCUAAUCAAUAUACAAUCGAGUUAAAUAACACCAAAACUACAGUAAUAUACAAAAAAGGCACCAUCAUAAAGUAAGAGACAUCUCGGGCACCAGUUUGAUCAAUUUAAUAUGCAUUACCAAGCACCCCACUAUUUCCCCAAUUCAUGCCAAAGAGAAUUUAAAACCCCUACCGAUUGCUUCAGCUUUGACUUUCCAUAACCAUGCGACCCGCACCCUGUGAUAACCCUGAGGAAUUGAACCGCUGUACCAGAGCAGACAAGUAAAUAGACCAUACCUAAUAAAAUUGCAGAUCAAAAUUGUUCAAAGAGAAAGGUCGUACCCAGUGCACAAGGCUCCCGCUUUACGCAGGGUCUGGGAGAGGUGAAUGUCGGCUAGCCUUACCCCCAUUUAUGGAGAGGCUGCUCCCAAGUCUCGAACCCGAGACCUACCGCUCAUGGGCGAAGGCACUUGCCAUCGCACCAAGUGCGACC